UUAAAUGAAUUGACGGGGGCCCGCACAGCGGUGGAGCAUGUGGUUUAAUUCGACGCAACGCGAAGAACCUUACCUAGGUUUGACAUCCCGGGGAGUCUCUUGAAAGAGAGAUGUGCCCUUCGGGGAGCCCGGAGACAGGUGCUGCAUGGCUGUCGUCAGCUCGUGUCGUGAGAUGUUGGGUUAAGUCCCGCAACGAGCGCAACCCUUAUCUUUAGUUACCAGCACUUCGGGUGGGGACUCUAGAGAUACUGCCCCGGUCAACGGGGAGGAAGGUGGGGAUGACGUCAAGUCCUCAUGGCCUUUAUGCCUAGGGCUACACACGUGCUACAAUGGGCGGUACAAAGGGUCGCGAUCCCGCGAGGGGGAGCCAAUCCCAAAAGGCCGUCCCAAGUUCGGAUUGGAGUCUGCAACUCGACUACGUGAAGUCGGAAUCGCUAGUAAUCGUGGAUCAGAAUGUCACGGUGAAUACGUUCCCGGGUCUU
rnacentral:rRNA from 1 species